AAAUAGUGAAGUGGGACAUAUAACACAAGAAAGGCAUACAAGGCAAUCCCAUAUAAUAUAUUCAUCCAUGAAAGGAGAAUGUUAUACUGUUAAUGUAGAAUGUGGGGAAAGUCCCCUACGACCUUUGCACAAGUAGUUUUCUUAAGCAAGACAGAAAUUUAAUUUAGUUCAUACUAAAUGAAGUCAUCUGAUAGAAUGGAAACUGUUCACUGAGAUAUACAAUAAAGAAGGUGAAAUAAGAAUCUUGAAGCUGGCUAAAAGCUUCCUGGAACUCUCUCUGUAGACCAGGCUGGCCUUGAACUCACAGAGAUCUACCUGCCUCUGCCUCCCGAGCACUGGGGUUAAAGGCUUACACCAUUAUGCCUAGCCUAAAAGAUUUAAUUCUUAGAAGUAGGGAGAAUGGUGGAGUGAGAAGCUGGAGAGAUGCCAGUGACUUAGAAUAUGCCUGCCAGGGAUCUAGUCCAGGGCAUGGUGACAGCAAUGGUGCUUAGAAUCAUGAAGUACAGUCUUCUCACACGGAGAAGCAGGCCACAGGAAGUACCUGAACACCUUCUGAGGGCGCGUCCCCAACUGAGGAUGUGUCUGUCACUAAGCCUCCAGUCUUCAAAAUUCCAUCACUGUCCUGUACGGCUACCCACAGGGCCAAGUCCCAAAAGAUGAGGUUUUGCAAGAACAAAACCAACUCAAAUCACAGCAGAGGCCACACAUGGGAUAGCAACGUUUAAACAAACAAAAUUCUACUUCUUUUCUGUUUCUACUGCCCAGUCUGUGGCAGCUUUCAGAAAAUAGUCAACAACGUAUAAAUAAAAUAUAUGCCUGUAUAG